CCCAGCACCGAAGCCUGUGGCCAUUUGGUUACUAGGCAAUGUGGUGUUCAGGUCGUUCCGCGGAGGUUCUGCUCCAUCCUAAGUCCAUCAAUGAGUACGGUAUUAUGGACAUGGCCCAUAGAGGGUGAAAGGCCCGUGGGGGUGGAGAUUCGGUAGGCCAGAACUUCCCUGGGUAGACCUUGGAGUCGGGUUGUUUGUGAAUGCAGCCCAAAGUGGGUGGUAAACUCCAUCCAAGGCUAAAUACUUGCACGAGUCCGAUAGCGAACAAGUACCGUGAGGGAAAGUUGAAAAGUACUUUGAAGAGAGAGUAAACAGUGCGUGAAACCGCUCAGAGGUAAACGGGUGGAGUUGAACUGCAAGCUCUGGGAAUUCAACUGGUGAGUGUGGUUUGAGCUUGGUCAUAUUGGUGGACGUCGGGGUCUGCGUAGAAGCAGGUCUUCGCCUUCGGGUGGGGAUGCGCGAUGCACUUAUCAAGUGUUGUGCGCCUCGGUUGUUCCCGGCCAACUCGCUAGUGCACUUUCUCAGAGUGGUCACCACGACCGACGCCGCUGUCUGGCCGCUGUGGUUAAACCGAGUUUGCAUAGUCCGAGUGGCUUUGCUUGGUCGGGAUGGCAGGUAGCUCGUUGACUUGCUUGUGGUUCGCCGCGAGCGUGGUUUUCGAGUAUAAUCCGCUGACCGUAGUGGUUCUGUGCAGUGUGUCGGGGACGGCGGCUCGAGGUGUGUGCAUGCGUUGCUGUUUGCUGACUGGUCCGAGUUUGGUUAUUUUGUAGCCUGUUCAAUCAGGUCUGGUAGUAGCUCGGAUUUGUUCGGCUGGCGGUGGCGUGUGUGGCAUUGUUCCAAGGGCCAACAGUCUGUGGUGUAGUGGU
rnacentral:rRNA from 1 species